rnacentral:tRNA from 1 species
GGGGAUUUGGCUCAGUGGUAGAGCACUUGCCUAGCAAGCACAAGGCCCUGGGUUCAGUCCCCAGCUCCU